GAGGUAGUAGCUCAAGGGUAGAGCGUCUGACUCCAGAUCAGAAAGUUGUGAGUUCAAAUCUUACCUACCUCA
rnacentral:tRNA from 1 species